AAGAAAAAAAGUUUUCCCCAAAUUGAAAUCUAGGUUUUUCCGACUCUACUGUGAAGCUCGUCGCCGGCCUCCUUUCGCUUCAAUUUCGAUGUCAUAUCUUGGCGAAGAAGUGGAUAACAUGUAUCGGUUAAGUGUCUUUCUAACUCAAUUUUUAUUUGCUUCAUUCUCUAAUUAUCUCUCUACCCAGAUCCGAGUUUGCGAGAUCUCAAGCUACCCUAACAUUUUCCAGUUUUGCUCUUAAAUCUUUCAACUACUUAAGCUUUAGGUUCGUAUUUAUACAUUUUUUUUUUCUUCUUCUUCUCUGCGAUUUGUUCCUUUUUUGUUUAGAUGAACGAUUGAAUCUCGAGUCUGAUUGAGCCUCUCUGUGAUGGAUAUAGUUCGGAUUCGAUUUCAAAGUAGAAUUUUGAUUGCUUGUAAACCAGUAAGUUCAUGAUCAGGGCAUUAACUACUUGCUGAAACUUUUAAACUCACUCGAUUUUAUUUUGCAGCAGAUGAGUCAAGCUUUUGAUUGUUCAAUACUUAUGGUUAUUAUAUGCUUUUAUAGAAAGUGCACAGCGCUUGCAUGAUUUGGGCGAUGAAUCUAAGUCGAUUCCUCUGUGGAGAUAAGACAACUUCAGAGAAUAAGGGCUUGACUAUUCUGAUCUUCAAAGAGCUUUUUUUUAUUUCAAGAACAGUUGUUGACUAACCAACCUUGAAGAAUCACGCCUCAAGCCAUAAUAUUUACUUUGCAGGAACAGAGAGCAGAGUUGAAACCAAUGUUCCUUUACAUGGCCAUUGUUGCUCUCCUAAACCAUGGUUCCUUCGCUUGGAUGACAGUAACUGCAACAUCGAGAAGACCAAUUCAGAUACAACUUUGUAAUUAGGGUGAAAUGGGUAAAGACUUUCUUUCCGAAUGACACCAAAUUCUGGAAAUAAGUCCCAAUGACGAGUGAAGUCACCAGCAGAUGUGGAAAGCGGAGAAGGAUGAACUUGUUGUCUCAUCUUUCUUUCAUCUCUCUUUAUGUGUUAUAAGACUUGGCUUCUAAGUACUUAUAUAUAUUCUAUUUGUAAGUGGUUUUUAACUCUGUUUGAGAGUUUAAAACUCUUUCUUUUUUGAAUGUAUGA